UCCUCUCCUCCUCCUCUCCCCUUCCUCUCCCCUUCCUCUCCUCCUCCUCUCCCCUUCCUCUCCCCCUCCUCUCCCCUUCCUCUCCCCUUCCUCUCCUCCUCCUCUCCCCUUCCUCUCCCCUUCCUCUCCUCCUCCUCUCCCCUUCCUCUCCCCUUCCUCUCCCCUUCCUCUCCCCUUCCUCUCCCCUUCCUCUCCCCCUCCUCUCCUCCUCCAAUGCUGUUGUAAAGGAUCUCCAUUCUCAGGUUGUUAACAGGUCUAUAUUUGGGUUGGAUUGUUUAUAGUGGUGUCUGUAUUAACAUCAUAUAGCUUUGUCCAACUCCAGUAGGAUUAUAAUCUAUGAAUCUCCUUCUCAUUAAAUAUAACCUCUGGUUUAAACUCUCAUUCCUUACUCUGUCCGCCUGUCAAUCCCUCUCCCUGCAUCAAAGCUUUAGUGACUUAGUUAACUCUGGUUCAGCUGCCUGAGUUGCUCUGGUUUAGCUGCCUGAGUUGCUCUGGUUCAGCUGCCUGAGUUGCUCUGGUUCAGCUGCCUGAGUUGCUCUGGUUUAGCUGCCUGAGUUGCUCUGGUUCAGCUGCCUGAGUUGCUCUGGUUCAGCUGCCUGAGUUGCUCUGGUUCAGCUGCCUGAGUUGCUCUGGUUCAGCUGCCUGAGUUGCUCUGGUUCAGCUGCCUGAGUUGCUCUGGUUCAGCUGCCUGAGUUGCUCUGGUUUAGCUGCCUGAGUUGCUCUGGUUCAGCUGCCUGAGUUGCUCUGGUUCAGCUGCCUGAGUUGCUCUGGUUUAGCUGCCUGAGUUGCUCUGGUUCAGCUGCCUGAGUUGCUCUGGUUUAGCUGCCUGAGUUGCUCUGGUUUAGCUGCCUGAGUUACCUGGCUGUUGGAUGGAAUUUGUAUGAAUGUUCUGUGAUGGUUGUAUGGAUGUUCUGUGAUGGUUGUGUGGAUGUUCUGUGAUGGUUGUGUGGAUGUUCUGUGAUGGUUGUAUGAUGUUCUGUGAUGGUUGUAUGGAUGUUCUGUGAUGGUUGUAUGGAUGUUCUGUGGUGGUUGUACGGAUGUUCUGUGAUGGUUGUAUGGAUGUUCUGUGAUGGUUGUGUGAAUGUUCUGUGAUGGUUGUAUGAAUGUUCUGUGAUGGUUGUAUGGAUGUUCUGUGAUGGUUGUAUGAAUGUUCUGUGAUCGUUGUAUGGAUGUUCUGUGAUGGUUGUAUGGAUGUUCUGUGAUGGUUGUAUGGAUGUUCUGUGAUGGUUGUGUGAAUGUUCUGUGAUGGUUGUAUGGAUGUUCUGUGAUGGUUGUAUGGAUGUUCUGUGGUGGUUGUAUGGAUGUUCUGUGAUGGUUGUAUGGAUGUUCUGUGAUGGUUGUGUGAAUGUUCUGUGAUGGUUGUAUGGAUGUUCUGUGAUGGUUGUAUGGAUGUUCUGUGAUGGUUGUAUGGAUGUUCUGUGGUGGUUGUAUGGAUGUUAUAUUGUGGUUGUAUGGAUGUUCUGUGGUGGUUGUAUGAAUGUUCUGUGAUGGUUGUAUGGAUGUUCUGUGGUGGUUGUAUGAAUGUUCUGUGAUGGUUGUAUGGAUGUUCUGUGAUGGUUGUAUGAAUGUUCUGUGGUGGUUGUAUGGAUGUUCUGUGAUGGUUGUAUGAAUGUUCUGUGAUGGUUGUGUGAAUGUUCUGUGAUGGUUGUAUGGAUGUUCUGUGAUGGUUGUAUGAAUGUUCUGUGGUGGUUGUAUGGAUGUUCUGUGAUGGUUGUAUGGAUGUUCUGUGAUGGUUGUAUGGAUGUUCUGUGAUGGUUGUAUGGAUGUUCUGUGAUGGUUGUAUGAAUGUUCUGUGAUGGUUGUGUGAAUGUUCUGUGAUGGUUGUAUGAUGUUCUGUGAUGGUUGUAUGAAUGUUCUGUGAUGGUUGUAUGAAUGCUCUGUGAUGGUUGUAUGAAUGUUCUGUGAUGGUUGUAUGGAUGUUAUGAGAUGGUUGUGUGGAUGUUAGAUGUUGUAUGAAUGUUCUGUGAUGGUUGUAUGAUGUUCUGUGAUGGUUGUAUGGAUGUUCUGUGAUGGUUGUAUGAAUGCUCUGUGAUGGUUGUAUGAAUGUUCUGUGAUGGUUGUAUGGAUGUUAUGAGAUGGUUGUGUGGAUGUUAGAUGUUGUAUGAAUGUUCUGUGAUGGUUGUGUGAAUGUUCUGUGAUGGUUGUGUGAAUGUUCUGUGAUGGUUGUGUGAAUGUUCUGUGAUGGUUGUAUGAAUGUUCUGUGAUGGUUGUGUGGAUGUUCUGUGAUGUUGUAUGAAUGUUAGGAGAUGGUUGUGUGGAUGUUCUGUGAUGGUUGUGUGGAUGUUAGGAGAUGGUUGUAUGAAUGUUAGGAGAUGGUUGUGUGGAUGUUCAGUGAUGGUUGUGUGAAUGUUCUGUGAUGGUUGUGUGAAUGUUCUGUGAUGGUUGUGUGAAUGUUCUGUGAUGGUUGUGUGAAUGUUCUGUGAUAGUUGUAUGAAUGUUCUGUGAUGGUUGUGUGGCUGUUCUGUGAUGGUUGUGUGGAUGUUAGGAGAUGGUUGUGUGGAUGUUAGGAGAUGGUUGUGUGGAUGUUCCUCCCAAUACAUUGAGGUUGACAGGUCUUCUCAGUGUUCUCUGACCCUGAGGUAGGACUAGGGGUCAGGGUGAGGUAGGGCUAGGGGUCAGGGUGAGGUAGGGCUAGUGGUCAGGGUGAGGUAGGGUUAGUGAGGUAGGGCUAGGGGUCAGGGUGAGGUAGGGCUAGGGGUCAGGGUGAGGUAGGGUUAGUGAGGUAGGGCUAGGGGUCAGGGUUAGUGAGGUAGGGCUAGGGGACAGGGUGAGGUAGGGCUAGGGGUCAGGGUGAGGUAGGGUUAGUGAGGUAGGGCUAGGGGACAGGGUGAGGUAGGGCUAGUGAGGUAGGGCUAGGGGUUUGGGUUGCUAGUUUGGUAGUGUUAGUUUGAUAGACAGGUGUCAGAUUGAGUGUCUGAGCCUGAACCAACUGACCAUCUAACCUUUAACCUCUGACCUGGAAGUCUUAUGAAUAACUCUCUGGCAUUGCUGUCAGACUUAGUAGCCGACAGGAAGUCUGAGGUCUUACGCGACACACAACUCUGUCCUGC
rnacentral:lncRNA from 1 species